GAUGAACGCUGGCGGCGUGCCUAAUACAUGCAAGUCGAGCGAAUGGAUUAAGAGCUUGCUCUUAUGAAGUUAGCGGCGGGCGGGUGAGUAACACGUGGGUAACCUGCCCAUAAGACUGGGAUAACUCCGGGAAACCGGGGCUAAUACCGGAUAACAUUUUGAACCGCAUGGUUCGAAAUUGAAAGGCGGCUUCGGCUGUCACUUAUGGAUGGACCCGCGUCGCAUUAGCUAGUUGGUGAGGUAACGGCUCACCAAGGCAACGAUGCGUAGCCCACCUGAGAGGGUGAUCGGCCACACUGGGACUGAGACACGGCCCAGACUCCUACGGGAGGCAGCAGUAGGGAAUCUUCCGCAAUGGACGAAAGUCUGACGGAGCAACGCCGCGUGAGUGAUGAAGGCUUUCGGGUCGUAAAACUCUGUUGUUAGGGAAGAACAAGUGCUAGUUGAAUAAGCUGGCACCUUGACGGUACCUAACCAGAAAGCCACGGCUAACUACGUGCCAGCCGCCGCCGUAA
rnacentral:rRNA from 1 species